rnacentral:rRNA from 1 species
GACGAACGCUGGCGGCGUGCUUAACACAUGCAAGUCGAACGGAAAGGCCCUGCUUUUGUGGGGUGCUCGAGUGGCGAACGGGUGAGUAACACGUGAGUAACCUGCCCUUGACUUUGGGAUAACUUCAGGAAACUGGGGCUAAUACCGGAUAGGAGCUCCUGCUGCAUGGUGGGGGUUGGAAAGUUUCGGCGGUUGGGGAUGGACUCGCGGCUUAUCAGCUUGUUGGUGGGGUAGUGGCUUACCAAGGCUUUGACGGGUAGCCGGCCUGAGAGGGUGACCGGCCACAUUGGGACUGAGAUACGGCCCAGACUCCUACGGGAGGCAGAAGUGGGGAAUAUUGCACGAUGGGCGGAAGCCUGAUGCAGCAACGCCGCGUGCGGGAUGACGGCCUUCGGGUUGUAAACCGCUUUCGCCUGUGACGAAGCGUGAGUGACGGUAAUGGGUAAAGAAGCACCGGCUAACUACGUG